CGGUCCUAAGGUAGCGAAAUUCCUUGUCGGGUAAGUUCCGACCUGCACGAAUCGUGAAACGAGUUGGGCACUGUCUCAACCAGGCGCUCAGUGAAAUUGUAGUGGCGGUGAAGAUGCCGCCUACCCGCAGAAGGACGGAAAGACCCUAUAGACCUUAACUGUAAGCUGUCAUUGUUUCUUCGGUUUUAAUGCUCAGAGUAAGUGGGAGACGCUGAAGACGCCCUUUAGGGGGCGUCCGAGUCAUCAAUGAGACACCACCCUUUGAAACUGGAGGAUCUAACCCUGAGCCGUGAAUCCGGCCAGAGGACCGUGUCAGCCGGUCAGUUUUACUGGGGCGGUAUCCUCCCAAAGAGUAACGGAGGAGCGCGAAGGUGGGCUCAGCCCGGUUGGCAACCGGGUG
rnacentral:rRNA from 1 species